ensembl:lncRNA
AGAGUUCCACUUCUGGCUGCUUCGGGCCUGUGCUGGGCCUCACUCCUGCUCCGAGAAAGGGGAGGGAGCGGGGAGAAUGAACGGCAGGGGGCCUUGCCAAGGCCCGAGGCGACGGCAAGGCCCGAGUCCUGUCUGCCCUUCGCCUCCCAUUUCCAGCCGUGACACUUGGAUGGAGGGAAACCGUGUCUUGGAAUACAUCACUCUGGGCUCUCCCGGAGCAGCUGACACAUCGCAGUAACGCUUCUCCAAAAGUCAGGGUCUGCUGAUUCCAGCGGGGACAGCAAGGCAAGCCGGGAGCAGCUGAAAUGGUCUCCUCCAACUUCGGAGACUCAGGGCAGGCGGCUGGCUUAGCGGCAGAGGCCCAGCGACUGGGCUGUCAAGUGCAGCGCCCACGAUUCCCAGACCAGAAGGUGGUUUGUUGCCUGCCUCUGGGUGAAAUUUUAUUCACCUGGUGGGGAAACUCGUUUUCUCUCCACGGAAUGCUCUGAGUGGCACGUCGCAUAUGUGUUUUAUUAAUAAAAAUGAGAAAAUGGAAUCAUUAUUAC